rnacentral:rRNA from 1 species
GUGGGGAAUAUUGGACAAUGGGCGCAAGCCUGAUCCAGCAACGCCGCGUGGAGGACGAAGGUCUUCGGAUCGUAAACUCCUGUCAGGCGGGACGAAGGUAACGGGGUGAAUAAUCCUGUUGCUUGACGGUACCGUCAGAGGAAGCCCCGGCUAACUCCGUGCCAGCAGCCGCGGUAAUACGGAGGGGGCGAGCGUUAUUCGGAAUUAUUGGGCGUAAAGGGCGCGUAGGCGGCUUGGCAAGUCAAAGGUGAAAUCCCUCGGCUCAACUGAGGAACUGCCUUUGAAACUGCCUGGCUUGAGUCCGGGAGGGGGUAGCGGAAUUCCCAGUGUAGCGGUGAAAUGCGUAGAUAUUGGGAGGAACACCAGUGGCGAAGGCGGCUACCUGGACCGGAACUGACGCUGAUGCGCGAAAGCGUGGGUAGCAA